rnacentral:lncRNA from 1 species
AUGAAUAAAUGGCGAAAACAAUAUAAUUAUAACAUAUAUUUUUAUUUUACUUAUUUUAGGUCUGUGAAGCCAAACUUGAUGCUGGGGAUUUAUUUUUGUCAGUGGAGUCAAAUGGUUGAAGCAGAAUUUGCCCGUCUUACAUCUGUUGACCUGAAAGGGUUCCUUUUUGCUGUGCUUGACCAUUAUGGAGAGGUUCGUGGAGCUGUACAAAAUCAAGAGCGGCAUAGGAGGGCUAACUAGGCUCAUAAGAUGCUUCGGAGAUGAUAGCCCUACACAAAGGAAGAGGACAGAGGACCUCAUUUUCUAAAGGAAGAUCCCUCACACACUUUCAAGACUGUGAAGGUUAGCAUUGUUUCUUUUAGUAAAUUUAAUAAUGACAGCACCACAGUGGAUUUUAAAUGAAACAUGUGGCAUCUAUGAAACAAUAGAUGCCACAUGAUAACAUGUGUACUUUUUCCUCACCAAAUGUAUUAUUACAAGAUCUUUGACACUGGAUUUGGUCUGGGUUUCAGAGAAACUAACUGGCAAGCUAGCAUUGAUAUUAUUAGUGUCUUGUGUUUAUUCAUGUCUUCACCAGGGUCUUUGACAUUUCGCUGCUGUACUGUUCACUUCAGCUUUACGUUUGAU